GUGGGCACGGAGCGAGGCAUUUGGGUCACCUCCCACCCGUGUUUAUUUUACCUUGUUGCUUCGGCGGGCCCGCCUUUACUGGCCGCCGGGGGGCUCACGCCCCCGGGCCCGCGCCCGCCGAAGACACCCCCGAACUCUGUCUGAAGAUUGAAGUCUGAGUGAAAAUAUAAAUUAUUUAAAACUUUCAACAACGGAUCUCUUGGUUCCGGCAUCGAUGAAGAACGCAGCGAAAUGCGAUACGUAAUGUGAAUUGCAAAUUCAGUGAAUCAUCGAGUCUUUGAACGCACAUUGCGCCCCCUGGUAUUCCGGGGGGCAUGCCUGUCCGAGCGUCAUUGCUGCCCUCAAGCCCGGCUUGUGUGUUGGGCCCCGUCCUCCGAUUCCGGGGGACGGGCCCGAAAGGCAGCGGCGGCACCGCGUCCGGUCCUCGAGCGUAUGGGGCUUUGUCACCCGCUCUGUAGGCCCGGCCGGCGCUUGCCGAUCAACCCAAAUUUUUAUCCAGGUUGACCUCGGAUCAGGUAGGGAUACCCGCUGAACUUAAGCAUAUCAAUAAGCGGAGGAAU
rnacentral:rRNA from 1 species